rnacentral:rRNA from 1 species
UACGUAGGGUGCAAGCGUUAAUCGGAAUUACUGGGCGUAAAGCGUGCGCAGGCGGUUAUGCAAGACAGAGGUGAAAUCCCCGGGCUCAACCUGGGAACUGCCUUUGUGACUGCAUAGCUAGAGUACGGCGGAGGGGGAUGGAAUUCCGCGUGUAGCAGUGAAAUGCGUAGAUAUGCGGAGGAACACCAAUGGCGAAGGCAAUCCCCUGGGCCUGUACUGACGCUCAUGCACGAAAGCGUGGGGAGCAAACAGG